rnacentral:rRNA from 1 species
AGAGUUUGAUCCUGGCUCAGAUUGAACGCUGGCGGCAGGCCUAACACAUGCAAGUCGAGCGGUAGAGAGGAGCUUGCUUCUCUUGAGAGCGGCGGACGGGUGAGUAAUGCCUAGGAAUCUGCCUGGUAGUGGGGGAUAACGCUCGGAAACGGACGCUAAUACCGCAUACGUCCUACGGGAGAAAGCAGGGGACCUUCGGGCCUUGCGCUAUCAGAUGAGCCUAGGUCGGAUUAGCUAGUUGGUGAGGUAAUGGCUCACCAAGGCGACGAUCCGUAACUGGUCUGAGAGGAUGAUCAGUCACACUGGAACUGAGACACGGUCCAGACUCCUACGGGAGGCAGCAGUGGGGAAUAUUGGACAAUGGGCGAAAGCCUGAUCCAGCCAUGCCGCGUGUGUGAAGAAGGUCUUCGGAUUGUAAAGCACUUUAAGUUGGGAGGAAGGGCAGUUACCUAAUACGUAAUUGUUUUGACGUACC